UACUGCGGCACCGAGUGAGACGCCGCCGGAUCCGACGGAGGAGGAGCACCAUCGGUUAUACGUCGCGGUCGCUCAUUUCGUCGUUAACGGUAGGUGUAGGUAAUAGAGACAAAACA